rnacentral:rRNA from 1 species
CUACGGGCCGCUGCAGUGGGGAAUAUUGGACAAUGGACCAAAAGUCUGAUCCAGCAAUUCUGUGUGCACGAUGAAGGUUUUCGGAUCGUAAAGUGCUUUCAACAGGGAAGAAGUUCUGACGGUACCUGUAGAAGAAGUGACGGCUAAAUACGUGCCAGCAGCCGCGGUAAUACGUAUGUCACAAGCGUUAUCCGGAAUUAUUGGGCAUAAAGGGCAUCUAGGCGGCUUGGUAAGUCUGAUGUGAAAAUGCGGGGCUCAACCCCGUAUUGCGUUGGAUACUGCUAGGCUAGAGUAUUGGAGAGGUAGGCGGAACUACAUGUGUAGAGGUGAAAUUCGUAGAUAUAUGUAGGAAUGCCGAUGACGAAGGUAGCUUACUGGACAAUUACUGACGCUGAAGUGCGAAAGCUAGGGGAGCAAACAGGAUUAGAUACCCCCGUAGUC